rnacentral:rRNA from 1 species
GUCUAUGGCCAUGCCACCCUGAACAAGCCCGAUCCCGUCUGAUCUCGGAAGCUAAGCAGGGUCGGGCCCGGUUAGUACUUGGAUGGGAGACCACCUAGGAGACAAGGUGCUGUAGACG